rnacentral:rRNA from 1 species
AUUAGCCAUGCAUGUCUAAGUACAUACAUUAUUAAAGUGAAACCGCAAAAGGCUCAUUAUAUCAGUUAUGGUUCAUUAGAUCAUUAACAGUUACUUGGAUAACUGUGGUAAUUCUAGAGCUAAUACAUGCAAUUUAAACACGGACCAUUUGGAACGUGUGCUCUUAUUAGGCUAAAACCAAUCGAUACCUUUAUGGAAUCGUUUUAUAUGGUUGAACUCUAGAUAAUUUGCAGAUCGUAUGGUCUCGUACCGACGACAGAUCUUUCAAAUGUCUGCCCUAUCAACUAUUGAUGGUAGUAUCUUGGACUACCAUGGUUGCAACGGGUAACGGGGAAUCAGGGUUCGAUUCCGGAGAGGGAGCCUGAGAAACGGCUACCACAUCUAAGGAAGGCAGCAGGCGCGUAAAUUACCCACUCCCAGCACGGGGAGGUAGUGACGAAAAAUAACAAUACAGGACUCAUAUCCGAGGCCCUGUAAUUGGAAUGAGUACACUUUAAAUCCUUUAACAAGGACCUAUUGGAGGGCAAGUCUGGUGCCAGCCGCCGCGGUAAUUCCAGCUCCAAUAGCGUAUAUUAAAGUUGUUGCGGUUAAAACGUUCGUAGUUGAAUUUGUGCUUAACACGGGUAGUACGCCUAAAAUUUUGGGUCUGUACAUUACCUUUUUGUGUGUGAGCGUAUUAUCGGUGAGGUAAUUAUAUUGUAUAUAUUAUUUAUAUUUUAUAUUAUAAUAUAAACCUCUAUUUAAACCUACAUUAAUCCUCUUUACCGAGUGUUUUUGUAGGCCGAUACGAUUACUUUGAACAAAUUANAGUGCUUUAAAGCAGGCUUGAAUGCCUAAAUAUUUUGUGCAUGGAAUAACUGGAAUAUGACCCUCUGCUCUACUUUCUAUUUGGUUUUUAGAUCAAGAGGUAAUGAUUAAUAGAAGCAGUUGGGGGCAUUAGUAUUAACGAC